GGUUAAGCGACUAAGCGUACACGGUGGAUGCCCUGGCAGUCAGAGGCGAUGAAGGGCGUGCUAAUCUGCGAUAAGCGCCGGUAAGGUGAUAUGAACCGUUAUAACCGGCGAUACCCGAAUGGGGAAACCCAGUGUGAUUCGUCACACUAUCAUUAACUGAAUCCAUAGGUUAAUGAGGCGAACCGGGGGAACUGAAACAUCUAAGUACCCCGAGGAAAAGAAAUCAACCGAGAUUCCCCCAGUAGCGGCGAGCGAACGGGGAGGAGCCCAGAGCCUGAAUCAGCAUGUGUGUUAGUGGAAGCGUCUGGAAAGGCGCGCGAUACAGGGUGACAGCCCCGUACACAAAAGCGCAUGUGCUGUGAGCUCGAUGAGUAGGGCGGGACACGUGGUAUCCUGUCUGAAUAUGGGGGGACCAUCCUCCAAGGCUAAAUACUCCUGACUGACCGAUAGUGAACCAGUACCGUGAGGGAAAGGCGAAAAGAACCCCGGCGAGGGGAGUGAAAAAGAACCUGAAACCGUGUACGUACAAGCAGUGGGAGCACCCUUCGGGGUGUGACUGCGUACCUUUUGUAUAAUGGGUCAGCGACUUAUAUUCUGUAGCAAGGUUAACCGUAUAGGGGAGCCGGAGGGAAACCGAGUCUUAACCGGGCGUUAAGUUGCAGGGUAUAGACCCGAAACCCGGUGAUCUAGCCAUGGGCAGGUUGAAGGUUGGGUAACACUAACUGGAGGACCGAACCGACUAAUGUUGAAAAAUUAGCGGAUGACCUGUGGCUGGGGGUGAAAGGCCAAUCAAACCGGGAGAUAGCUGGUUCUCCCCGAAAGCUAUUUAGGUAGCGCCUCGUGAAUUCAUCUCCGGGGGUAGAGCACUGUUUCGGCUAGGGGGCCAUCCCGGCUUACCAACCCGAUGCAAACUGCGAAUACCGGAGAAUGUUAUCACGGGAGACACACGGCGGGUGCUAACGUCCGUCGUGAAGAGGGAAACAACCCAGACCGCCAGCUAAGGUCCCAAAGUCAUGGUUAAGUGGGAAACGAUGUGGGAAGGCCCAGACAGCCAGGAUGUUGGCUUAGAAGCAGCCAUCAUUUAAAGAAAGCGUAAUAGCUCACUGGUCGAGUCGGCCUGCGCGGAAGAUGUAACGGGGCUAAACCAUGCACCGAAGCUGCGGCAGCGAACGUAUCACCCAAGACAACUUUACGGAGUUGACGAUUGACGGAGCGAAGCGACGUCAAAGCGUUCAUUAAAGUCGAGUUGGCUUAGGGAUACGUUCGUUGGGUAGGGGAGCGUUCUGUAAGCCUGUGAAGGUGUGUCGUGAGGCAUGCUGGAGGUAUCAGAAGUGCGAAUGCUGACAUAAGUAACGAUAAAGCGGGUGAAAAGCCCGCUCGCCGGAAGACCAAGGGUUCCUGUCCAACGUUAAUCGGGGCAGGGUGAGUCGACCCCUAAGGCGAGGCCGAAAGGCGUAGUCGAUGGGAAACGGGUUAAUAUUCCCGUACUUGGUGUUACUGCGAAGGGGGGACGGAGAAGGCUAUGUUGGCCGGGCGACGGUUGUCCCGGUUUAAGCGUGUAGGUGUGUGUUCGGGUAAAUCCGGUUCACUUUAACACUGAGGCGUGACGACGAGGCACUACGGUGCUGAAGCAACAAAUGCCCUGCUUCCAGGAAAAGCCUCUAAGCAUCAGGUAACAUCAAAUCGUACCCCAAACCGACACAGGUGGUCAGGUAGAGAAUACCAAGGCGCUUGAGAGAACUCGGGUGAAGGAACUAGGCAAAAUGGUGCCGUAACUUCGGGAGAAGGCACGCUGACACGUAGGUGAAGUGAUUUACUCAUGGAGCUGAAGUCAGUCGAAGAUACCAGCUGGCUGCAACUGUUUAUUAAAAACACAGCACUGUGCAAACACGAAAGUGGACGUAUACGGUGUGACGCCUGCCCGGUGCCGGAAGGUUAAUUGAUGGGGUCAGCGCAAGCGAAGCUCCUGAUCGAAGCCCCGGUAAACGGCGGCCGUAACUAUAACGGUCCUAAGGUAGCGAAAUUCCUUGUCGGGUAAGUUCCGACCUGCACGAAUGGCGUAAUGAUGGCCAGGCUGUCUCCACCCGAGACUCAGUGAAAUUGAACUCGCUGUGAAGAUGCAGUGUACCCGCGGCAAGACGGAAAGACCCCGUGAACCUUUACUAUAGCUUGACACUGAACAUUGAGCCUUGAUGUGUAGGAUAGGUGGGAGGCUUUGAAGUGUGGACGCCAGUCUGCAUGGAGCCGACCUUGAAAUACCACCCUUUAAUGUUUGAUGUUCUAACGUGGACCCGUAAUCCGGGUUGCGGACAGUGUCUGGUGGGUAGUUUGACUGGGGCGGUCUCCUCCUAAAGAGUAACGGAGGAGCACGAAGGUUGGCUAAUCCUGGUCGGACAUCAGGAGGUUAGUGCAAUGGCAUAAGCCAGCUUGACUGCGAGCGUGACGGCGCGAGCAGGUGCGAAAGCAGGUCAUAGUGAUCCGGUGGUUCUGAAUGGAAGGGCCAUCGCUCAACGGAUAAAAGGUACUCCGGGGAUAACAGGCUGAUACCGCCCAAGAGUUCAUAUCGACGGCGGUGUUUGGCACCUCGAUGUCGGCUCAUCACAUCCUGGGGCUGAAGUAGGUCCCAAGGGUAUGGCUGUUCGCCAUUUAAAGUGGUACGCGAGCUGGGUUUAGAACGUCGUGAGACAGUUCGGUCCCUAUCUGCCGUGGGCGCUGGAGAACUGAGGGGGGCUGCUCCUAGUACGAGAGGACCGGAGUGGACGCAUCACUGGUGUUCGGGUUGUCAUGCCAAUGGCACUGCCCGGUAGCUAAAUGCGGAAGAGAUAAGUGCUGAAAGCAUCUAAGCACGAAACUUGCCCCGAGAUGAGUUCUCCCUGAGACUUAGAGUCUCCUGAAGGAACGUUGAAGACGACGACGUUGAUAGGCCGGGUGUGUAAGCGCAGCGAUGCGUUGAGCUAACCGGUACUAAUGAACCGUGAGGCUUAACCUU
rnacentral:rRNA from 1 species